CCUCCGUUCUUCAACAGUGAUUAAUAUUUGUCAAUUGACGCAAGUCUGAACCAGCCAUGCCGCGUGCAGGAUGACGGCUCUAUGAGUUGUAAACUGCUUUUGUACGAGGGUAAACCCCGAUACGUGUAUCGGGUUGAAAGUAUCGUACGAAUAAGGAUCGGCUAACUCCGUGCCAGCAGCCGCGGUAAUACGGAGGAUCCGAGCGUUAUCCGGAUUUCUUGGGUUUAAAGGGUGCGUAGGCGGUUUGAUAAGUUAGAGGUGAAAUGGCGGGGCUCAACCCCGAAACUGCCUCUAAUACUGUUGGACUAGAGAAUAGUUGCGGUAGGCGGAAUGUAUGGUGGAGCGGUGAAAUGCUUAGAGAUCAUACAGAACACCGAUUGCGAAGGCAGCUUACCAAACUAUAUCUGACGUUGAGGCACGAAAGCGUGGGUAGCAAACAGGAUUAGAUACCCCUGUAGUC
rnacentral:rRNA from 1 species